rnacentral:rRNA from 1 species
GGGGAAUUUUCCGCAAUGGGCGAAAGCCUGACGGAGCAAUACCGCGUGAGGGAGGAAGGCUCUUGGGUUGUAAACCUCUUUUCUCAGGGAAGAAAUUUUGACGGUACCUGAGGAAUAAGCAUCGGCUAACUCCGUGCCAGCAGCCGCGGUAAUACGGAGGAUGCAAGCGUUAUCCGGAAUGAUUGGGCGUAAAGCGUCCGCAGGUGGCUGUGUAAGUCUGCUGUUAAAUAGUGAGGCUCAACCUCAUAAAGGCAGUGGAAACUACAUGGCUAGAGUGCGUUCGGGGCAGAGGGAAUUCCUGGUGUAGCGGUGAAAUGCGUAGAGAUCAGGAAGAACACCGGUGGCGAAAGCGCUCUGCUAGGCCGCAACUGACACUGAGGGACGAAAGCUAGGGGAGCGAAUGGGAUUAGAUACCCCAGUAGUCCUAGCCGUAAACGAUGGAUACUAGGCGUGGCUUGUAUCGACCCGAGCCGUGCCGUAGCUAACGCGUUAAGUAUUCCGCCUGGGGAGUACGCAGGCAACUGUGAAACUCAAAGGAAUUGACGGGGGCCCGCACAAGCGGUGGAGUAUGUGGUUUAAUUCGAUGCAACGCGAAGAACCUUACCAGGACUUGACAUGUCGCGAAUCCCUGCGAAAGUAGGGAGUGCCUUCGGGAGCGCGAACACAGGUGGUGCAUGGCUGUCGUCAGCUCGUGCCGUGAGAUGUUGGGUUAAGUCCCGCAACGAGCGCAACCCUCGUUUUUAGUUGCCAUCAUUAAGUUGGGCACUCUAGAGAGACUGCCGGUGACAAACCGGAGGAAGGUGGGGAUGACGUCAAGUCAGCAUGCCCCUUACGUUCUGGGCUACACACGUACUACAAUGCGACGGACAAUGGGCAGCUACCCAGCGAUGGCAAGCUAAUCUCAUAAACCGUCGCUCAGUUCAGAUCGCAGGCUGCAACUCGCCUGCGUGAAGGAGGAAUCGCUAGUAAUUGCAGGUCAGCAUACUGCAGUGAAUUCGUUCCCGGGCCUUGUACACACCGCCCGUCACACCAUGGAAGCUGGUAGUGCCCGAAGUCAUUACCCCAACCUUCGGGGGGGGGAUGCCUAAGGCAGGACUGGUGACUGGGGUGAAGUCGUAACAAGGUAGCCGUACCGGAAGGUGUGGCUGGAUCACCUCCUU